GGCUUGAUAGCUCAGUUGGUAGAGCACUGCACCAGUAGGUAUUGCCGCAGAGGUCAUGGGUUCGAAUCCCGUUCAAGCCU